GGGAGUUUGGCCGAGCGGUCUAAGGCGCCAGGUUUAGGUGAUCCCUGGUAUCGAAAGAUGCGGGAGUUCGAAUCUCCCAGCUCUCA
rnacentral:tRNA from 1 species